rnacentral:rRNA from 1 species
AUUGAACGCUGGCGGCAGGCUUAACACAUGCAAGUCGAACGGUAACAUAAAGAAGCUUGCUUCUUUGAUGACGAGUGGCGGACGGGUGAGUAAUGCUUGGGAAUCUGGCUUAUGGAGGGGGAUAACUACGGGAAACUGUAGCUAAUACCGCGUAGAAUCGGGAGAUGAAAGUGUGGGACCUUCGGGCCACAUGCCAUAGGAUGAGCCCAAGUGGGAUUAGGUAGUUGGUGAGGUAAAGGCUCACCAAGCCGACGAUCUCUAGCUGGUCUGAGAGGGUGACCAGCCACACUGGGACUGAGACACGGCCCAGACUCCUACGGGAGGCAGCAGUGGGGAAUAUUGCGCAAUGGGGGCAACCCUGACGCAGCCAUGCCGCGUGAAUGAAGAAGGCCUUUGGGUUGUAAAGUUCUUUCGGUAGCGAGGAAGGCAUUUAGUUUAAUAAACUGGAUGAUUGACGUUAACUACAGAAGAAGCACCGGCUAACUCCGUGCCAGCAGCCGCGGUAAUACGGAGGGUGCGAGCGUUAAUCGGAAUAACUGGGCGUAAAGGGCACGCAGGCGGUGACUUAAGUGAGGUGUGAAAGCCCCGGGCUUAACCUGGGAAUUGCAUUUCAUACUGGGUCGCUAGAGUACUUUAGGGAGGGGUAGAAUUCCACGUGUAGCGGUGAAAUGCGUAGAGAUGUGGAGGAAUACCGAAGGCGAAGGCAGCCCCUUGGGAAUGUACUGACGCUCAUGUGCGAAAGCGUGGGGAGCAAACAGG